rnacentral:rRNA from 1 species
UACGUAGGUGGCAAGCGUUGUCCGGAUUUACUGGGUGUAAAGGGCGUGCGGCCGGGAAGACAAGUCAGAUGUGAAAUCCCGCGGCUCAACCGCGGAACUGCAUUUGAAACUGUUUUUCUUGAGUACCGGAGAGGUCAUCGGAAUUCCUUGUGUAGCGGUGAAAUGCGUAGAUAUAAGGAAGAACACCAGUGGCGAAGGCGGAUGACUGGACGGCAACUGACGGUGAGGCGCGUAAGCGUGGGGAGCAAACAGG